AUCCAUUCGACAAACGUAGAUAUUGAAUCGCUGUCAAAUCGCAUUGAAAAUGUAUCGAACGCUGAAAUAAAAAAAAAUCGUAGCUAUCGUAAUUGCUCAUAUUGGCUGAUAAUAAAUUCAAAUGGAAUCAGUGCAUAUUACCACAGGCAGCAGUCGUCGCUUAAAUCGUAUAAAAAUACCAGAUUGCUACUAGAAAUAGCGAACAUCGUAUCGCGGAACAGACAGAAGCGUUGGGCCUGUCAGGUUUAUUUUGAAACGCGCGCCGGUUCCAGUCUCUGUAGUAGCUUCGAGUUUCAUACUUUUAACCGCGAUUUCGUAACCUUCCCGAAUAAUAUUUGUAAAGAAACGAGCCUUCAGAAUCAGAUCUUGAACGUAGAGUUUUUCCGCAAAUUUAUCAUCGUAUUAACCUCCGGUGGAUGCGGUUACAAAAAGGUGAACGCGGAUAAAUCAACCGCUUAUUCGGUGCAAUUUUUAUUCGGUGAGAUAUCAAGUAGCUUGAUGAUCACCGUACAUCCUCGCUAUCUCGCAUCAAGACUUUGAUCGAGUCGUUUUCUGCCUGACAAAAUAUGGAACAAAGAAACGAAUGCAUAGAGGGCACACUUUAGGUAGAGACUUAUAAAUUAUCUACAAUUUAUAACUUGUCUUUUGUAGAUACAAACAAAUAAACAAACAGAAUGGAGAAAAAUCGUGGUCUACGUAAUUUUAUUUUCGUAGAAUGUAAAUCAGUCAAAUAGAAACCUGAAUCAGAAAGAUUGUAAACCGACGGAACGACUAGAUUCCUAACGCAUCUGGUAUUCUCGUGCGUGCUUGCGACGUGUACCGACAAACAACUGAACUUUCACAAUUGACAAGCGACCGCUGUGCAGGUACAGUUUCUUGGAAUCUCGUCGUGUACGAUUUCCAUGGUUUUUUGGUGAGCCUCUUCAUCGCGGAACGAAUUAUACGAACGACGUGCCACGAAUAAGAAACGGAUAACGUCAUUGGCUAAUAAACGGGAACGUAACGCGUACAAGACUCGUUCGUUGAUAAGGAUCGGUCACAGCAGAGCCAAAUUUAUGCAGAGUCAGAGAUAGCUACGAUCCAAUUAACGCGUUUAAAAAGAAAUUUUCGCCAUACGUCGUAUCUAUUUUAAUUGAUUUCCGCCACGAUUAUUUCACGAUUCUUUUUCAAUUAUCUUCGAGCGCAACGUUCCGUAAUUUCUCGUUUUUCCCCGUUUUCCUGACCUUUCGAAAACUCAGCGAUGUGUAUAACAGUCGCGCAGACACGCUAUCCGAGUAAUUUCAUUGAAUGACUAAAUAUGUAGAUUUAGUGGCGCCAACUUGGACGAUGACGCAACAGCGAUAACGAAACGACUCUCUCUGGUAACAAUGACCUAGAAAAGUACUCUGGCAAAUUAUUCGUUAGUGAAUUGCGUAAAAUUUCCAAGUGACGUUUACAAAACCCUCUUUUGCAAUCGUUAGGUUCUACGUUUAAUCUUGAAUCGAAGAACACAAGAUCACACAGUUGGUUCGUUAAAUGUGGAAAAUGUAUUUUUUCACGAUCACGUCUGCUUCUCUCGUGGUCUUUGAAGUACUCUUAUUUUCUAACGACCUUCAAUGUCCAGGAAAUAAAGCGGAAAAGCUCGAACCAAAUUAUCAACUAGCGGAAAUUCUGCAAACGAAGAACAAAGCGAGGAUUCCUAAGCGAACAAAUUCCAAGCAUAUCGAACGAAGCUAACAACAUUUCUGAUCCCUGUGAAUUCAUAUCCGAACACGAAGCACGCCAAAAACCGUCCGCAAAUACUACAAGUUCAUUCAAAAUCCAACGGGGAAAAGACUCGAAGCAAUUUGUAUCUGUUACAACCUGUCGGUUCAGGCCAGCGCGAACAAGACGUAGAGGAUCGAAACGACUGAUUUAUCGGCGCGUACGAAAUCCAGAAGCUUCUCUAUCCUUUGGCUGACAUGAACGACAAAGAUCGAAUCAAAAGAUGAUGGAAGAGCAAAACGUUAUAGCCUGACCCACCCACCGUUUUAUCGCCGUUCUUCCGCCCACGCGAUGACGUAUAGCCGCAAGGAAUAUAAUAUCAACGACCGCGUAGACAGGCAAAAAUCAGAAGCCCUUCUCGCUGAAUGAACCCACGCGUCCUUGGGUUCCAAUGGGUUGACAAGACCAAAAGGGGAACGCACGCGAAAGUGACCCUGAAGCAACGUCGAAGUAACAGGGAGUUCAUGGGCAUAGGUGUGACUUAGGAGUGAGUUAAAGCAUCGACCAUUUGAGACUGAAGGAUUUUUCAGUUUAUUGCCAGCCUUUCGAGCCAACAGUUUUCUUCGAGUCGUCGUGAAGAUAUUAGUCAAACAGAAAAGCUUUCGUAAUUACGCAAGCGACGACAACACGACAAUUCACAGGGGCAGAAUAGUUGACCUGAGAUCGUCAUAUCCAGAAAGGGAGCAUCGGAAGUGUCACGUACGGAUUUUAACAAACCAAACAACACGGAUUUCAUUCGCGCUUGAAUCAAGUUACACGUUAGCAUCGGAAUUGUGUCAUUACCAAUAACAGCACUGUAAGGUAAAACGUAAAAACGUUUACUAAUAAUAUCACGUAUUAGCAAAAUAACUUUAUUAAUAACAGAAGAAGCAGUGUAACUUUAUCGAAUACGCACUUAACUUGAUGAGCUCAACUGUUAUUGUUGAAUCGUGAUUUAGCCACAGCAGAAAUAAUUAAAUAGCGUCUUUCUAAUUUUAAAUGAUUAAAAUUUUGAUACAUUUUCCGUUUCACAUAAAUUUGAUAAAAUCUUCAGUGAAUUUUAAAAAAUAAAAUAUUUCAAAAUUUUAAAAGAAUUGAAGACUUCAAACGUUUCAAUGUCCCUUUGAAGUAGCUAUCUGAAACAUUUCAAUGUGAAUGUCAGAUUCAAUAAACAGAAGCUUCACAAGCUACACGAACUUGUCUCCCUUUUUGUUAUCUACUUGUGUUGUCGAAAUGGCACGGAAAUGAGGGAAAUGUAAGUUAUUGAAAUCGUAUAAUAGAAUAUCAAUUAACAAGUGCGAAGUAACGAAUAAUUUAAUAAAAUAAAUGAAAUUCAAUCUCAUACAAAGUCCACAAAUUAUCGAAUUAAUUAAGUUAAUUUGUCAUUUAUAACGCGAGAGAAAGCAAUAUCAAAUAUGAUCAAUUACAAUAUUUUUAACAUUAGUAUUUUCCAGACGAAUUGUCAUAUCUCUCUUCAAAAUUGUCGAGAAAAGAUUUUUUAUUAUAUGUACAUAGAUACACACACGUACCUAUCAAGCUAAACGAAUAAUGAUAAUUGUUGUAACGGAGAAAUCUUCGAUUACGUUAUUACAUAAUGUAAUUGUUAAACUAUUGUUACUGAUACGUGUAUAUAGAAUAUCUAUAAAAGCAAACGUAUCAAAAGACCGAUAGAAAAUCUGCGAUAAAACAAACUUCACAUUGCCUGUGCAAUAAGUUUUGUAAAACAUUUUUGCGGAUUGAUGAAACAGACUGCUGAUCGUUAUUAUACAAGCGCAGAUUACAACUCGAUAUUUAUAGAUUAACGAUCGGUCAGUAGAUGCCGUACUAUCGGCCUCCGAUACUAUUUCUAUUUCUUAUCAUAAACAUCGAAAACCUGUACGGUACUAGACCCAAGAGUUGGUCUGUUUUUGUACACAUUUUAGCGAAACUGAGCUAUCGUUGUUGAAAGCAGCGAUAUUUCCGCGAAAGCUACACCGGUUGUCGACGUUGCUAAUGAUAAAAAUAAAUAAUAAACGGUCGAUCGAAGCGAAAAGAACGUGUCACGGCAAGAAAACAACGAACGAGAAGCUUCUAGAUACACCGCUUUUCUAUUACUACAACUAACUUUCGAGGAAAAAGUAAUAGAAAGUAUGCUACAUGUAAUUAGUAUGUUCCUCGUACAUAUGUUAGCUAUUCGAAAAGAAAUGCUUUCCAAUUAAUAAAACGCAGAAUAAUAAAUAUAAAGUCUCGUACAAGUCACGAGACUCGUCAACUUCGUUCUUUCAUUAUUUUGGAUCAAACUACCCUGAUCUUCUGAUAAGUGAACAAGUAGGUAACCCGAAAGAAUACAACAAAGCCCUGACGUUUCACUUUCGUGGAAGAUACUAAGCGAGAGGUCCUCGCUUUCCAACCACUUGAAGAAUUAAAAGGCGUUAGGAGUGUAAAGCUAAUUUUGCGCACGUGACGCAGCUAGAUGUAAGCAAGCAGGCAUGCAAUCUUACUCGCCGCUUGAUUCUCGGAUCUUAGACCUAGAUCUCAUAUAAUCAGACCACCCAGCGCACUUCCCGCGGUUAUACUGCACUUACAUUACACCAAUUGCUGGCUCGCAUUGAAUUACAUGCAUUCGCCUGGCAAGUAUGCAACACUAUGCAUCACGGUGCAUAGUCGGUACAAGAAACAUAAUAAGAUCAUAAAAUCAAUCUAAAUAAACUCGGUAAGAGGUAAAGUUACGCUUCGAAUUAUUAAGUAUGUUCAAAAAUAUUGAAGAUACGUUUAAAGCGAGUAAUUUGUGACUCUCUAUAGGACGCAAAAAUCUUUAUAGGAAUGCAGUUCAGGAAGUAUAUGACGAGAACUCGGAGUUUUCUACUUUCGUCUGUUCCGAGAGUACGAUAAAAGUCCGGCUGCGAUUGAGCAAAGACAGACAGGAACUUAAUAUCGUACGAUUUUACUAAGACGCGGUAAACAGUACAGUUUUAAUGAAAAAAUUUUGCAAUGUAUAAGAAUUUGUGACCUUACGAUAUCGGUUCCAUUAACUGUACCACGGUGUGCAUAGUGCGCGUGAAGGUCGUGAUCCUUGCGUUGCUCGUGUUGUUCGGGGCCAAUAACACAGUCACGAUUAUGGCAAAGAAGUAACGAGCGAAAAUUGAGAAGCCGUCAAGAGCAUGUAACUCAAGGGGGUUGCACGUUACCCUGCUCGCAAAGAUAAUAAUCACAUCUUAAUAGCACUUCCAAAAUCGGCGAUGCGAUGACAAACGUAGCGCACGAAAUUAGGAGAAGAAGUACCUACGUAAGUUGCAACGAGCGUGUGAACCAAGUUCUUGGUAUGCUAAACAGGUGUAAGAAGUUUCGAGAUAACAUAGUUCGCCAACUUUUAAUACGUCGAGUUUGAUAAACUUUUAUUCCCUGUAUCUUGGUUCUAUCUGAACGUAUAUCUUCAAAUUGGAAUCGUGAAAUUUAUAAGUAAGAGGGACAGGUAUAUUUUAAGUGUCUUUUAAUUUUUCUUGUUGAGAAAGAACGAGAAAAUAAAAAUUAAAAGUGCUAUUUAAUGUCCUGACAUAAUGUGAA